CCUACGGGUGGCUGCAGUGGGGAAUAUUGCACAAUGGGGGAAACCCUGAUGCAGCGACGCCGCGUGAGUGAAGAAGUAUUUCGGUAUUUAAAGCUCUAUCAGCAGGAACGAGACAAGACGGUACCUGACUAAGAAGCCCCGGCUAACUACGUGCCAGCAGCCGCGGUACUACGUAGGGGGCAAGCGUUAACCGGAAUCACUGGGGGUAAAGGGAGCGUAGACCGCUGAGCAAGCCUGAAGUGAAAGGCGGGGGGCUAACCCCCGGAUUGCUUUGGGAACUGUACGGCUGGAGUGCAGGAGAGGUAAGUGGAAUUCGUAGUGUAGCGGUGAAAUGCGUAGAUAUUAGGAGGAACCCCAGUGGCGAAGGCGGCUUACUGGACUGUAACUGACGUUGAGGCUCGAAAGCGUGGGGAGCAAACAGGAUUAGAUACCCCUGUAGUC
rnacentral:rRNA from 1 species